GAUGAACGCUGGCGGCGUGCCUAAUACAUGCAAGUCGAGCGAACAGACGAUGAGCUUUCUCCUCUGACGUUAGCGGCGGACGGGUGAGUAACACGUGGAUAACCUACCUAUAAUACUUGGAUAACUUCGGGAAACCGGUGCUAAUACCGGAUCAUAUAUUGAACCGCAUGGUUCAAUAGUUAAAGACGGUUUUGCUGUCACUUAUAGAUGGAUCCGCGCCGCAUUAGCUAGUUGGUAAGGUAACGGCUUACCAAGGCAACGAUGCGUAGCCGACCUGAGAGGGUGAUCGGCCACACUGGAACUGAGACACGGUCCAGACUCCUACGGGAGGCAGCAGUAGGGAAUCUUCCGCAAUGGGCGAAAGCUUGACGGAGCAACACCGCGUGAGUGAUGAAGGUCUUCGGAUCGUAAAACUCUGUUAUUAGGGAAGAAAAAAUGUGUAAGUAACUAUGCACGUCUUGACGGUACCUAAUCAGAAAGCAACGGCUAACUACGUG
rnacentral:rRNA from 1 species